AACGGUCUAUACCUGCGGUACCUGCGGAGGGAUCAUUAUCAAUUUACAGCGGACUUCGGUCCUGUCUGCACCCUUGUCUUUUGCGUACUAUAUGUUUCCUCGGUGGGCUUGCCUGCCGAUAGGACACUUGUAAACUCUUUUGUAAUUGCAAUCAGCGUCAGAAAACUAUAAUAGUUACAACUUUCAGCAACGGAUCUCU
rnacentral:misc_RNA from 1 species